rnacentral:rRNA from 1 species
UUUGAUCCUGGCUCAGAUCGAACGCUGGCGGCAGGCCUAACACAUGCAAGUCGAACGGUAACAGGAAAAAGCUUGCUUUUUUGCUGACGAGUGGCGGAGCGGGUAGUAAUGUCUGGGAAACUGCCUGAUGGAGGGGGAUAACUAGUGGAAACGGUAGCUAAUACCGCAUAACGUCGCAAGACCAAAGAGGGGGACCUUCGGGCCUCUUGCCAUCGGAUGUGCCCAGAUGGGAUUAGCUAGUAGGUGGGGUAACGGCUCACCUAGGCGACGAUCCCUAGCUGGUCUGAGAGGAUGACCAGCCACACUGGAACUGAGACACGGUCCAGACUCCUACGGGAGGCAGCAGUGGGGAAUAUUGCACAAUGGGCGCAAGCCUGAUGCAGCCAUGCCGCGUGUAUGAAGAAGGCCUUCGGGUUGUAAAGUACUUUCAGCGGGGAGGAAGGGAGUAAAGUUAAUACCUUGCUCAUGAC